ncrna:unclassified sequences DTF805b RNA
AACAGGGAAGCCGAAAACUGAACAGAGUAGGCA